CUAAACACAAACCUAACCUAGCAAACCUAACCUACCAGCUGAAAGGAAGAAAGAAGAAAAGGAAAAGAAAGAAAAAAAAGAAAGGGGAUCGGGGAAGGGGCCCGAGGGAGAAGAAAGGGAUGAGAGGAGAGGGGAAUCCGAGAGAGAGGAAGGGAGCGCCAGGGGAGGAGAAACUUGCCGCUGUCAACCUCGCCGUCGUCGUCAUCCAGGGAGCUGCCACUCCUGGUCAUCGUUGCUGAGCCCAUCAACCCCGUCACUGCCGUUUGUCCUUGCCGCUGGCAGUUGCGUCGUCGCAAAGAAGAGACGUGCGAGAGAAAAGGGGUCACGAGUGAAGGACGCGUGAGGGAGGAAACAGAACCGCGUCGGAUCUGUUGCCACUGGUCCGCCCAGCUGACUCGUCGCCAAACCACGUCGCCGUCCGUGAAGUUGUCUCCGUCGCCGCUGUCGGAGGUCGCCAUCGGAGCCGCCGCUCCACUUCUGUCAUUCUUCUUUUUACAGGUUAAUUUUAUGCGUUUGCAUGUCAAAAAUUAAGGUUGUUGCUGAGCCACUGAAGCUCUUGGCCGCUAUUAGAGCUACUGCGGGUUGAGUUUGGGGUGAUUGACGCGUCGUUCUUUUAUUCCAGAGUUAAUAACCGGGAUUGCAUGUUGGGACAUAAAGAUGUUUAUGCUGUGGCGAAAGUGUGCGGGCUAUGAAUUAAAGCUGCCAUUGACUUCGGGUCGAGAGGAAAGAAAUUUCUUGAGUCUUUUGGAUUGUGAUUUGAACGUGUCGAGACUUCUCUUUUCAGAAAAUGGACGAAGAAGCUUAUGAAGAGUAGUUCGGUUUAGCUUAUGCGAUAGAAGAUGUUUUAGUUUAGUUAUUAUUAUUCUUCCCUCACCAUUAAUAUUAUAACUUUUGCAAGAGGGAUAGGAAUUUUGAUAUGGGAAGUUUAUAUAUAUAUAUAUAUAUAAGUAUUGUAAAUUGUAUUGAAAGGUAUGAAUGUAUGUUUGAAAAUUCGGUUUAAGAUUUAAAGUUUAAACAGGCUCAUAUUUUAGUAUUAAAUAUUUUAAAAAUCGUCGUAAUACCCGAACUAUCAGAAUGACGCAGCCAGAAGCAUAACAUUUGAAAGUUAGGGUGUUACAUAAGCAAUUCUUCAAUGUCAGAGAAGGUGAAACACUUCUAAAAGUUUCGCCACUCUAUCUUUCGACAAUAUUGGGGCCUCUAGCAGGUUUGCUAUUCAUCUCAAGUGACAGGAUAGUAUUCUGUAAUGAGAGAUCAAUCAGAAUAUUUACAAGGAAAGGCCAAAUGAUGAGGAUCCAUUACAAAGUUUUCAUUCCACUAAAAAAGAUCAAUGUGUGAACCAAAGAAAAAAUGUUGAAAAGCCAAAACACAAGUAUAUAGAGAAAUUUACAAUGGAUAACUUUAAUUUUUGGCUAAUGAAAGUCAUAAAGUAUCAAAAAAACUUUGACAUGUCUUCAGCAUGCAAUUUCUCAAGCUUAUGAACAAUGUAUAGCAGAAGCAGCUACCUUUUAGUUAGUUAGAUAAAGAAACAUGUAUAUAUAAUUAUGAGCAUGUAAAUUCUGAAAUGAUUUGUUGAUUUGCAAAUCAAAUAUUUUGUUUAGAUUAAUUUGAUAAUGUACGAAGAAAAUUGA